GAAAAACCCACAGGGAUUGCCCUAGUCACGCGAGUGAAGCGGCAACAGCUCAAAUUUGAAAUCUGGCGUCUCCGCUUCCGAGUUGUAAUUCGCAGAGGAUGCUUUUGGCGACCUGCCUUCCGAGUUCCCUGGGACGGGACGCCACAGAGGGUGAGAGCCCCGUACGGUCUGGCGCCGAGCCGCUGUAAAGCUCCUUCGACGAGUCGAGUAGUUUGGGAAUGCUGCUCUAAAUGGGAGGUAAACUCCUUCUAAAGCUAAAUAUUGGCCAGAGACCGAUAGCGCACAAGUAGAGUGAUCGAAAGAUGAAAAGCACUUUGAAAAGAGAGUUAAACAGCACGUGAAAUUGUUGAAAGGGAAUCGCUUAUGACCAGACUUGGGCUUGGUGGUUCAGCCGUCCUUCUGGGCGGUGCACUCCGCCGGUUCAGGCCAGCAUCAGUUGCCGGUUGGGGAGAAAUGUGGUGGGAACGUGGCUCCUCGGAGUGUUAUAGCCCGCCACUAUGCCCUCCUGGCGACUGAGGUUAGCGUUCUUCCGGAUGCUGGCGUAAUGGUUAUCAGCGACCCGUCUUGAAACACGGACCAAGGAGUCGUCCUGUCAUGCGAGUGUUCGGGUGCCAAACCCCUACCCGUAAUGAAAGUGAACGGAGGUGAGAGCUUCGGCGCAUCAUCGACCGAUCCUGAUGUCCUCGGAUGGAUUUGAGUAAGAGCAUGGGGGCCCGGACCCCAAAGAAGGUGAACUAUUCUUGGAUAGGGCAAAGCCAGAGGAAACUCUGGUGGAGGCUCGCAGCGGUUCUGACGUGCAAAUCGAUCGUCAAAUUUGACCAUGGGGGCGAAAAGACUUAAUCGAACCUUUUU
rnacentral:rRNA from 1 species